CAUUGAACAUAUGUAGUGUGGUUGUAGAAUGGCAACAUAUCUUUUAUGUUUGGUCUAAUGGCUGACUGUUUUGUUCAUUAUAGGAGACAAUAAAGGGUAUGAACCAAGCCAGUAACUGCCCCAAAUCAGAUGGUGCCUCUGAAGACAAUCAGCAUUGCACAGACAGUCCACAGCAUGACAGUAUCUUCCACAUUCAGGAGACAAUAAAGGGUAUGAACCAAGCCAGUAACUGCCCCAAAUCAGAUGGUGCCUCUGAAGACAAUCAGCAUUGCACAGACAGUCCACAGCAUGACAGUAUCUUCCACAUUCAGGAGACAAUAAAGGGUAUGAACCAAGCCAGUAACUGCCCCAAAUCAGAUGGUGCCUCUGAAGACAAUCAGCAUUGCACAGACAGUUCACAGCAUGACAGUAUCUUCCACAUUCAGGAGACAAUAAAGGGUACGAACCAAGCCAGUAACUGCCCCAAAUCAGAUGGUGCCUCUGAAGACAAUCAGCAUUGCACAGACAGUUCACAGCAUGACAGUAUCUUCCACAUUCAGGAGACAAUAAAGGGUAUGAACCAAGCCAGUAACUGCCCCAAAUCAGAUGGUGCCUCUGAAGACAAUCAGCAUUGCACAGACCGUCCACAGCAUGACAGUAUCUUCCACAUUCAGUGGCUCUUGAUGUAGAACCACCCAUAGAUCCUUCUGCAAAAGAAGUCCAGAAAUCUUCAAUUGAACAAGCAACAGAAAUAACAAGUACCACAACUACCAUGAAAGGUACUGUUUGUUAAACUUCAUAGAAAGCCUUUAUGAACUUAAAAAUCUCUGUUUUUUCUGAUGUGCUUUGUUCAUUCAGGUCGAAAGGUGGUAAAGAAAAAGAAAUGGGACAGUGAUGAAAUGAAUGCAGUUGAAAAGCAUCUAAACAGGUUCAUCAAAACUUGUACAGUGCCAGGAAAACAACAAUGUGAGGCCUGUAUAAAUGCUGAACCUGUUGCCUUGAAAGACAGGGAUUGGUUGUCUGUAAAGUUCUUUGUGAAGAACAAAAUCACUACCCUUAAAAGAAGAAUGUAAAGUCAGUUAUUUUAUUUUGUUUGGUAUCUU
ensembl:lncRNA